UACAAAUUCUGUGCAAAAGAAAUCAACGUUUCGACCCCAGCAGGGUCGAAACGUUGAUUUCUUUUGCACAGAAUUUGUA